rnacentral:lncRNA from 1 species
CUUCAAUAGCCUUGCUUUUUGAAUUCCCCAUACCUACAAUGAAUGCAUGCUUAAGAGCGGUAAACUGAACCAGAUCAAUGUUGCCUGCUAAAAAGCUUUCUCCUUGUUGUUGUUUUUUCGAUGAGAACUAUUUUGAAAACAUAUCUGCUGUUCAUAAAGGAAGUCGUCAUUUGUUGUAUGCAGAGUAAAGUUUGAAGAGACGAAGAAAUUUCCAGAUGCACCCGCGCUCGUAAAACGUCUAUAUGUACUGUAAGGCAGAUUUGAGGCAUAUAUUUGUGUAUGAAAUUUUGUAGAUCCGGCACCAUAUGUAGAUCCGGCUUAGAUGUAUUCGGACAAAAGGGCGUACAUAGGUCUGUACAAAUACCUAGAUUAGUUAGAGAAAACCGAAGAUAUACCUAGUUCAAGUACGGCUGUUGUUACGGCGGCGGUUGACGGCGGCGGUGGUUCAAACCGGCGGCGGUAGUUAUGGACGGAGGCGAUUGACGACGUCAGUGAUUCACGAAGGAGGCGGUUGAGGACGGCGUUGGUUCACUUAGUUGUCGCGGCGCACGCCCCAGCACGCCUGGAAGGCGGCCUCCAGCACGGCGCGCUCGGAAACGCCGGCGCGGUAGAGGCGGCAGAAGCAGGACGCCCACACGACGUUCGCGGGCGAGAGCCGGUGCAGGACCGCCUGCAAGAGAUCGUCGAGCGUGGCGGUUCCUGAAGGUCGAGGGAAGAGAGGGGGAAGGCAAUAGGAGGUCAAGGAGCGCGGCGGCGGCGGCACAGGAACCCUAACCCUGUGCGGGGUGAGGACUGGCGUUUGUUUUGUGCAAAGAGUUUUGUUUUGCGGGAGGAGAUGGAAACAUGAACCGGUGGCUGGUCAAAAAUCAGGAGACGAAAAUUAACCGAUGGGAACGUAGAGACGAAAAAAAACCAUCCUUUGGUGGAAGUUGAGACAAAAAAAACAGUUGGUGGGAAGAGAGACGAAAAAUAACCAUGUAGAGGUGGACAAAAAUUAACCGGUGACGAAAUUGAACCGGUGAGAUCCGGCUACCAACUGCCCCUUUAUUAGUAGAGAUAAAAUAACCAUGUAGAGGUGGCGGUUCCUGAAGGUCGAGGGAAGAGAGGGGGAAGGCAGUAGGAGGUCGAGGAGCGCGGGGGCGGCGACACAGGAACCCUAACCCUAUGCGGGGUGAGGAUUGGAGUUUGUUUUGUGCAAAGAGUUUUGUUUUGCGGGAGGAGACGAAAACAUAAACCGGUGGCUGGUCAAAAAUCAGGAGACGAAAAUUAACCGGUGAGAACGUAGAGACGAAAAAAAACCAUCCUUUGGUGGAAGGAGAGAAAAAAAACAGUUGAUGGGAAGAGAGACGAAAAAUAACCAUGUAAAAGUGGACGAAAAUUAACCGGUGACAAAAUUGAACCGGUGAGAUUCGGCUACCAACUACCUCUUUAUUAGUAGAGAUCCUUUUCCCCAAUGAACCAACCAGCACCAUGGACGCGUCCAGCUCUUGCAGGAGCCAGAUCCAACACCCGCAGUCUCCCUCCUGGUGAUCCAACCAGCGCCCGAUUGCUCCUCCCGCAGCGCGGACGCGCCCACCCAAGUGGAUGCCUAGCUGCUCCAGUAGCCAUGGUCAUGGCGCCCGAGCGUCCGUGCCUUCCCACGCCGUGCACUCUUGAGAGGAACUCCCUUGCUCCGGCUGGCCACCAACAACCUCGAGGGCAGUCCCUCAUGCCUCCUUCCCCUCUCCUUUCUCAUCCUCUUACUUCCUAUCUCUCCCUUUCUAUGAGCUCCCUAUCCCUCGUGCUUUCUUCUCGCAAGAGCCACUAGGGCUGACCGAAGCUUUGACCGCUCCUUCGCGAGGCUGCCGCCGCAUCUCCAGCCCUCGUCGCCGACCUGCAAGACGAGAAGAAGAAACAAGGACGUUGUCGCUUCAUGGAGCUUCCUAUGCUCAGAGCUUCAUACCCCUCACCCACGCUGGAUCCGCCUCCUCACGACCGGAUCCAGCGCCUCCAUGGCCCUGCCGGACCUCGACCCCCUCUGCCAGCGCCAUCCCCGUCCAGUUUCCUUGCGCCGCAGGUGUGUAGCCCCCAGAUCCGCCAUUGUUGUGUCGUUGCCUGCGUCUGUUCAUGGAGAAGAAGACUCAUUGAAACGUUAGUACUUAUUGCACUUAGCUGCUAGCACAUCAAAUGAGAAAGCAUAGCCGAGCUGGCUAGCACCGCUCGGUUACAUCCUAGAGAUCUCGGUUUUUGCCCUGUUUUUGUUGAUCUCGACUCGGCUGAAGUGCUACUUCAUCCACGAAGAAUCUUGUACAAUAUCAUAAAUAGAGAAACUAGCUUAGUUGGCUAGCGCAACAGGUCUUCAACUACGAGGUCCACGGACCAAAUCCCCGCGGCCUAUCUUUUAUUUUUACCUAGUGUAUUUUUUUGCACACACGCACUCUCAGCAGUUUUGGGCGAGACAUACUGCUAGGCUUGCGCAGUGCACAACAUUGAGCCUAUAUGUACUUUUUGGUUCGCUGCGAUUAAUCAAAUUGUUCACGAACUUCUAUAUGUACAAAAUGCCAUUAUUGUGCAUUGCUCAUAAAUCAUUAACCGUGCAUUGGAUCAAAUGAUUUAUAUAUGUUAAAUAAGUAGACU